rnacentral:rRNA from 1 species
ACGGAAGGCAGCAGUGGGGAAUAUUGGACAAUGGGGGAAACCCUGAUCCAGCGACGCCGCGUGAGUGAAGAAGUAUUUCGGUAUGUAAAGCUCUAUCAGCAAGGAAGAAAAUGACGGUACUUGACUAAGAAGCUCCGGCUAAAUACGUGCCAGCAGCCGCGGUAAUACGUAUGGAGCAAGCGUUAUCCGGAUUUACUGGGUGUACAGGGAGCGUAGACGGCAAAGCAAGUCUGAAGUGAAAUCCCGGGGCUCAACCCCGGAACUGCUUUGGAAACUGUUUAGCUAGAGUGCAGGAGAGGUAAGCGGAAUUCCUAGUGUAGCGGUGAAAUGCGUAGAUAUUAGGAGGAACACCAGUGGCGAAGGCGGCUUACUGGACUGUAACUGACGUUGAGGCUCGAAAGCGUGGGGAGCAAACAGGAUUAGAUACCCUGGUA